rnacentral:rRNA from 1 species
UACGGGGGGGGUAAGCGUUGUUCGGAAUUACUGGGCGUAAAGGGCGCGUAGGCGGGAUGGCAAGUCGGUCGUGAAAUCCCUGGGCUCAACUCAGGGGGGUCGGCCGAUACUGCCGUUCUUGAGGGAUGCAGAGGAGACUGGAAUUCCCGGUGUAGCGGUGAAAUGUGUAGAGAUCGGGAGGAACACCGGUGGCGAAGGCGGGUCUCUGGGCAUUCCCUGACGCUGAGGCGCGAAAGCGUGGGGAGCAAACGGG